rnacentral:rRNA from 1 species
CCUACGGGUGGCAGCAGUGGGGGAUAUUGCACAAUGGGGGAAACCCUGAUGCAGCGACGCCGCGUGGGGGAAGACGGUCCUCUGGAUUGUAAACCACUGUCCCCAGGGACGAAGAUGACGGUACCUGGGGAGGAAGCUCCGGCUAACUACGUGCCAGCAGCCGCGGUAAUACGUAGGGAGCGAGCGUGGUCCGGAAUUACUGGGUGUAACGGGAGCGUAGGCGGGACUGCAAGUUGGGUGUCAAAUCUACCGGCUCAACCGGUAGCCGCACUCGAAACUGCAGUUCUUGAGUGAAGUAGAGGCAGGCGGAAUUCCUAGUGUAGCGGUGAAAUGCGUAGAUAUUAGGAGGAACACCAGUGGCGAAGGCGGCCUGCUGGGCUUUUACUGACGCUGAGGCUCGAAAGUGUGGGGAGCAAACAGGAUUAGAUACCCUUGUAGUC